ACUACUAUGGUGUAGCGGUAACAUUCAACCCUUCCAAGGUUGAGCUCGGGGUUCGACUCCCCGUGGUAGUA
rfam:Diaporthe ampelina DA_912_scaffold_v01_252, whole genome shotgun sequence.